rnacentral:rRNA from 1 species
AUUGAACGCUGGCGGCAUGCCUUACACAUGCCAGUCGAACGGUAACAGGUCUUCGGAUGCUGACGAGUGGCGAACGGGUGAGUAAUACAUCGGAACGUGCCCGAUCGUGGGGGAUAACGAGGCGAAAGCUUUGCUAAUACCGCAUACGAUCUACGGAUGAAAGCGGGGGAUCUUCGGACCUCGCGCGGACGGAGCGGCCGAUGGUAGAUUAGGUAGUUGGUGGGAUAAAAGCUUACCAAGCCGACGAUCUGUAGCUGGUCUGAGAGGAUGAUCAGCCACACUGGGACUGAGACACGGCCCAGACUCCUACGGGAGGCAGCAGUGGGGAAUUUUGGACAAUGGGCGAAAGCCUGAUCCAGCCAUGCCGCGUGCAGGAUGAAGGCCUUUGGGUUGUAAACUGCUUUUGUACGGAACGAAAAGCCUCUUUCUAAUAAAGAGGGGUCAUGACGGUACCGUAAGAAUAAGCACCGGCUAACUACGUG